GAUGAACGCUGGCGGCGUGCCUAAUACAUGCAAGUCGAGCGAACGGACGAUAAGCUUGCUUCUCUGAUGUUAGCGGCGGACGUGUGAGUAACACGUGGAUAACCUACCUAUAAGACUGGGAUCACUUCGGGACACCGUAGCUAAUACCGGAUAAUAUUUUGAACCGCAUGGUUCAAAAGUGAAAGACGGUCUUGCUGUCACUUAUAGAUGGAUCCGCGCUGCAUUAGCUAGUUGGUAAGGUAACGGCUUACCAAGGCAACGAUGCAUAGCCGACCUGAGAGGGUGAUCGGCCACACGGGAACUGAGACACGGUCAAGACGCCUAAGGGAGGCAGCAGUAGGGAAUCGUACGCAAUGGGCGAAAGCAUGACGGAGCAACGCCGCGUGAGUGAUGAAGGUCUUCGGAUCGUAAAAAUCUGUUAUUAGGGAAGAACAUAUGUGUAAGUAACUGUGCACAGAGUGACGGUAACUAAUCAGAAAGCCACGGCUAACUACGUG
rnacentral:rRNA from 1 species